GUCAGGACGUCGUCACCUGAUGAUGCAAGCAGAGAUGGAGUCAGUAUUGUGAUGAUUAAAGAUAAACAGCCUGGAUGUGCGACAAAGGGUUGGGGAGGACCUUUUACGACUCAGAUUGAAUGAUUAUGGUGAGAGGCCUCCUUGCUGUGUAGUUCAGUGCGGGUUUUCUAUGGACCCCGGAGGCCACAGUAACCGGACUUUGUGCCUCUGAAUUCUGAGCCUCUGUUCUCAGAGUCCACAUGAAAACUCUUGGGGUCACUUACCUGUUUGAUCUGGUCGGACUCGGACACCUGGACCGCCAUGAUUCGGACUCUGUAGGAGGGGAAACGGGGCAACAAUUAGCAGCAAUGCUAACACACCAGACUCCCUUCAUAAAUCCUCCAUUUUUAGCCCUCUCCUCGGUCCGCCUCUUUUAAAGCUCCUCCGGCGCUCACGUGUUAUUCUUUCAAUGUGACCUUACAGGUGUGCCGUUCAGCUUAGGUUGGCUGGUUUAGUAACGCUUCAGGGAGCAGAAGUUACUCGGGAUUUAGUGACAUGAUGAACAAACCUACCUGACAAAACAGCGCGUUUAAACGGACUGCUGCUGCUAACGGCUAUCGGCUAGCCCGGUAAGCUCCGUGAUCCCGCCCUCCGAUGAGGGUUCCUGUGUUCUCCUGGAGAUGUUCCUCUUCAGCCUCCCGAGCAGCA